UACAGAGGUGGCAAGCGUUGUUCGGAUUUAUUGGGCGUAAAGGGUUCGUAGGCGGUCUGAAAAGUCAGGUGUGGAAUCUCACGGCUUAACUGUGGAACUGCAUUUGAUACUGUCAGACUAGAGUGUGGAAGGGGUGAAGGGAAUUUCCGGUGUAGCGGUGAAAUGCGUAGAGAUCGGAAGGAACACCAGUGGCGAAGGCGGCUACCUGGCCCAAUACUGACACUGAGGCACGAAAGCGUGGGGAGCAAACAGGAUUAGAAACCCUAGUAGU
rnacentral:rRNA from 1 species